rnacentral:rRNA from 1 species
UGGGGAAUUUUGGACAAUGGGCGAAAGCCUGAUCCAGCAAUGCCGCGUGUGUGAAGAAGGCCUUCGGGUUGUAAAGCACUUUUGUCCGGAAAGAAAUCCUUGGCUCUAAUACAGUCGGGGGAUGACGGUACCAGAAGAAUAAGCACCGGCUAACUACGUGCCAGCAGCCGCGGUAAUACGUAGGGUGCAAGCGUUAAUCGGAAUUACUGGGCGUAAAGCGCGCGCAGGCGGUUUGCUAAGACCGAUGUGAAAUCCCCGGGCUCAACCUGGGAACUGCAUUGGUGACUGGCAGGCUAGAGUAUGGCAGAGGGGGGUAGAAUUCCACGUGUAGCAGUGAAAUGCGUAGAGAUGUGGAGGAAUACCGAUGGCGAAGGCAGCCCCCUGGGCCAAUACUGACGCUCAUGCACGAAAGCGUGGGGAGCAAACAGGAUUAGAUACCCUGGUAGUCCACGCCCUAAAGCG